rnacentral:rRNA from 1 species
UACAGAGGGGGCAAGCGUUGUUCGGAAUUACUGGGCGUAAAGGGCGCGUAGGCGGCCUGCUAAGUCGAACGUGAAAUCCCCGGGCUCAACCCGGGAACUGCGUCCGAUACUGGCAGGCUUGAAUCCGGGAGAGGGAUGUGGAAUUCCAGGCGUAGCGGUGAAAUGCGUAGAUAUCUGGAGGAACACCGGGUGGCGAAGGCGGUUCUCUGGGACGGUACUGACGCUGAGACGCGAAAGCGUGGGGAGCAAACAGG